rnacentral:rRNA from 1 species
ACCUACGGGGCGCAGCAGUGGGGAAUAUUGCACAAUGGGGGAAACCCUGAUGCAGCGACGCCGCGUGAGCGAUGAAGUAUUUCGGUAUGUAAAGCUCUAUCAGCAGGGAAGAAAAUGACGGUACCUGACUAAGAAGCCCCGGCUAACUACGUGCCAGCAGCCGCGGUAAUACGUAGGGGGCAAGCGUUAUCCGGAUUUAUUGGGUUUAAAGGGUGCGUAGGCGGAUUUGUAAGUCAGCGGUAAAAAUGCGGUGCUCAACGCCGUAUCGCCGUUGAAACUGCAGGUCUUGAGUGAGCGAGAAGUAU